rnacentral:miRNA from 1 species
GGGGAUGUGUGUGUGUGUGUGUGUGUGUGUGUGCGAUUUCAGUGCUGGCAGGCAUGCAUUGCCACGCUUGCAGG